rnacentral:rRNA from 2 species
UAAGCGACUAAGCGUACACGGUGGAUGCCCUGGCAGUCAGAGGCGAUGAAGGACGUGCUAAUCUGCGAAAAGCGUCGGUAAGGUGAUAUGAACCGUUAUAACCGGCGAUGUCCGAAUGGGGAAACCCAGUGCAAUUCGUUGCACUAUCGUUAACUGAAUACAUAGGUUAACGAGGCGAACCGGGGGAACUGAAACAUCUAAGUACCCCGAGGAAAAGAAAUCAACCGAGAUUCCCCCAGUAGCGGCGAGCGAACGGGGAGCAGCCCAGAGUCUGAAUCAGCUUGUGUGUUAGUGGAACGGUCUGGAAAGUCCGACGGUACAGGGUGAUAGUCCCGUACACCAAAAUGCACAGGCUGUGAACUCGAAGAGUAGGGCGGGACACGUGGUAUCCUGUCUGAAUAUGGGGGGACCAUCCUCCAAGGCUAAAUACUCCUGACUGACCGAUAGUGAACCAGUACCGUGAGGGAAAGGCGAAAAGAACCCCGGCGAGGGGAGUGAAAAAGAACCUGAAACCGUGUACGUACAAGCAGUGGGAGCACCUUCGGGUGUGACUGCGUACCUUUUGUAUAAUGGGUCAGCGACUUAUAUUCUGUAGCAAGGUUAACCGUAUAGGGGAGCCGCAGGGAAACCGAGUCUUAACUGGGCGUUAAGUUGCAGGGUAUAGACCCGAAACCCGGUGAUCUAGCCAUGGGCAGGUUGAAGGUUGGGUAACACUAACUGGAGGACCGAACCGACUAAUGUUGAAAAAUUAGCGGAUGACUUGUGGCUGGGGGUGAAAGGCCAAUCAAACCGGGAGAUAGCUGGUUCUCCCCGAAAGCUAUUUAGGUAGCGCCUCGUGAACUCAUCUUCGGGGGUAGAGCACUGUUUCGGCUAGGGGGUCAUCCCGACUUACCAACCCGAUGCAAACUACGAAUACCGAAGAAUGUUAUCACGGGAGACACACGGCGGGUGCUAACGUCCGUCGUGAAGAGGGAAACAACCCAGACCGCCAGCUAAGGUCCCAAAGUCAUGGUUAAGUGGGAAACGAUGUGGGAAGGCACAGACAGCCAGGAUGUUGGCUUAGAAGCAGCCAUCAUUUAAAGAAAGCGUAAUAGCUCACUGGUCGAGUCGGCCUGCGCGGAAGAUGUAACGGGGCUAAACCAUGCACCGAAGCUGCGGCAGCGACACUAUGUGUUGUUGGGUAGGGGAGCGUUCUGUAAGCCUGCGAAGGUGUGCUGUGAGGCAUGCUGGAGGUAUCAGAAGUGCGAAUGCUGACAUAAGUAACGAUAAAGCGGGUGAAAAGCCCGCUCGCCGGAAGACCAAGGGUUCCUGUCCAACGUUAAUCGGGGCAGGGUGAGUCGACCCCUAAGGCGAGGCCGAAAGGCGUAGUCGAUGGGAAACAGGUUAAUAUUCCUGUACUUGGUGUUACUGCGAAGGGGGGACGGAGAAGGCUAUGUUAGCCGGGCGACGGUUGUCCCGGUUUAAGCAUGUAGGCUGAUUGUCCAGGCAAAUCCGGAUAAUCAAGGCUGAGGUGUGAUGACGAGGCACUACGGUGCUGAAGUAACAAAUGCCCUGCUUCCAGGAAAAGCCUCUAAGCAUCAGGUAACAUUAAAUCGUACCCCAAACCGACACAGGUGGUCAGGUAGAGAAUACCAAGGCGCUUGAGAGAACUCGGGUGAAGGAACUAGGCAAAAUGGUGCCGUAACUUCGGGAGAAGGCACGCUGGUGUGUAGGUGAAGUCCCUGCGGAUGGAGCUGAGACCAGUCGAAGAUACCAGCUGGCUGCAACUGUUUAUUAAAAACACAGCACUGUGCAAACACGAAAGUGGACGUAUACGGUGUGACGCCUGCCCGGUGCCGGAAGGUUAAUUGAUGGGGUUAUCCGUAAGGAGAAGCUCUUGAUCGAAGCCCCGGUAAACGGCGGCCGUAACUAUAACGGUCCUAAGGUAGCGAAAUUCCUUGUCGGGUAAGUUCCGACCUGCACGAAUGGCGUAAUGAUGGCCAGGCUGUCUCCACCCGAGACUCAGUGAAAUUGAACUCGCUGUGAAGAUGCAGUGUACCCGCGGCAAGACGGAAAGACCCCGUGAACCUUUACUAUAGCUUGACACUGAACAUUGAGCCUUGAUGUGUAGGAUAGGUGGGAGGCUUUGAAGCGUGGACGCCAGUCUGCGUGGAGCCAACCUUGAAAUACCACCCUUUAAUGUUUGAUGUUCUAACGUUGGCCCCUGACCGGGGUUGCGGACAGUGUCUGGUGGGUAGUUUGACUGGGGCGGUCUCCUCCCAAAGCGUAACGGAGGAGCACGAAGGUUAGCUAAUCCUGGUCGGACAUCAGGAGGUUAGUGCAAUGGCAUAAGCUAGCUUGACUGCGAGCGUGACGGCGCGAGCAGGUGCGAAAGCAGGUCAUAGUGAUCCGGUGGUUCUGAAUGGAAGGGCCAUCGCUCAACGGAUAAAAGGUACUCCGGGGAUAACAGGCUGAUACCGCCCAAGAGUUCAUAUCGACGGCGGUGUUUGGCACCUCGAUGUCGGCUCAUCACAUCCUGGGGCUGAAGUAGGUCCCAAGGGUAUGGCUGUUCGCCAUUUAAAGUGGUACGCGAGCUGGGUUUAGAACGUCGUGAGACAGUUCGGUCCCUAUCUGCCGUGGGCGCUGGAGAAUUGAGGGGGGCUGCUCCUAGUACGAGAGGACCGGAGUGGACGCAUCACUGGUGUUCGGGUUGUCAUGCCAAUGGCACUGCCCGGUAGCUAAAUGCGGAAGAGAUAAGUGCUGAAAGCAUCUAAGCACGAAACUUGCCCCGAGAUGAGUUCUCCCUGAGACUUUAAGUCUCCUGAAGGAACGUUAAAGACGAUGACGUUGAUAGGCCGGGUGUGUAAGCGCAGCGAUGCGUUGAGCUAACCGGUACUAAUGAACCGUGAGGCUUAACCU